AUCAAAUUAAAUUAAUCUUCUUUUUUUUCUUUUUUCUUUUUUUGCGGGGAGUAACUUGGUCUUCAAGUUCCAAAUACUCAUACUCAGUUGUUGACGUACUUAAUUCUAGAAGCUUCUCCAUAAUUCAAGUUUAUUUUUCAUGCCUAUGAAAAUAACAUAUGACAAGACACUUCUUCUUGGAUGUACUUUUUGAGUUCAUCCAUCAGAAGAGCAAAGAGGUUAGGGCUCAAUGAAAAUCCUUAAUGUAAUUCAAUUGAAAUUGGGAAGUAUCUCUCACAUCAAUCUUGACACACAUUUUUACUUAAUGGUGCAUGUCGUAAUAAGCUAUAUAUAAGUAAUUCGAAGUUGUCAACUCCUUUCUUCUUCAACACCUUCGACAAGACUUCUUUGGGGACUCUGCUAUAGUUUUUUUUUCCAAUUCUAUAAAUGGCAUAUGCAAAUCUUUUUUAUUAUUUUUAGACCAUGCCAUUAGGUAUCUUAGUAAUUAAAUAUCUUCUGUUGUUGACCCAUCUAGCAUAAAACCAGUUGGUUCUUAGAGACCUUAGUUGCUCUCCCUAAUCUUUGUUUGGUCAUCCUUGCCCAAAAUUUUGUAGUGCGGCUCAUUAGCUUGAUCCCUCUAUAAUUGUCACAACUUUAAGCAUCUCAUCCAACAUCCUUUUUGAUUUAAGGUUCACAUUAAAUAAUUUUUUUAACCAAAAAAUUGUUAAGCAGCUUGUGCCUAGUUUAGUUUUGAUAUUAAAAAAUGAGAUGUCUUUGGAAAUUUAGUGUAUUUGACAAUCAAGGUCUUGAAAUUUGUUCUAAAAGUCUAAGAGAUCGAACUUUACAGUGGGAGGACCGAGAAAAUUAUUUCAUUUUCUAAAUCAAUUCCUUGUUUUUUGUUAUUUCAUAUGGAUUGUUCUUAAAAUGAUAUUUAAUGAAUUUUUUAUUAGUAAGAGAUCUAUUAUCUUGGAUGUGAAAAGAUGCUAAAUUUAGAAUGUUGCGAAUUUGUGCUAGGAACCUAAUUUUAACUUUUUAUCUUUAAAAGAGUUUGAUUUUGUUUUUGAUAUUUUCAUUGAAUUCAAAUGGGGGGUGAGAUACUUCUUUAUUUACAUUUGUGUUUUAAGAAAAUAGAGAAUAAAAUAUAACUUAAAAGAAAAAUUUGGACAUUUACUUAAAUAAUGGUAAAUGCAAACAAGCACAAAGCUGUAGAUGGAUAAACCAGUUGAAAUUGUGUAUGGGUUAACAUUCUAGAGCCUUUAAUCAACCAUAACAAUCGAUCUUCCAAAGCCGGUCAAGGUAAGAUACUCACUUGUUUGCACAGUCUAUCAAUAGUUGAUUGUGGAAGGCGACAAUUCAGGUAAGAUGGUCAUUAUUUUGCACAAUAGACCUAACAGACCACUGUUUCAGGGAACAAUCGAUCUUCCUUCCAUUUUAUUUUAAAUGCUACAUAUUUCUAAUGCAUGAGUCAACUUAACAGUUGACUGCCCUUAUGGAAAAUGGACUUAAAAGUUGAUUCCUCGAUCCAUCAGUUGAUUGACAGGCCAUAACGGUUGUUUUUCUGUGAUUGCGAAUAUCUUGGAAAUUUCCAUUCUCAAUCAAAUCAAGCCAUUGGUGAUUGAUUUGGGAGAUUUGACCUAAAAUCACCCGCCACAAGUUUAUAAUAAAACUUUUGAAGAAGAUUUGAAGUUAAUGAUCAUCAUUGAUACACAUUCAUACUCUUCUCUUAACUCCUCAAAUAGUUUCAAAGUAUGAAAUGACUUAUCCUUUGCUAGAGCCUAGAGAACAAAAGCCAUUCUUCAAGUGCUGAUGUGUAGAUCUAAGAAUUGCUUUCAAUUCUUCAUCAAUAAUGUCUAUAAUGUUUCCUAUUACUUUGUAUUUGUGCUCUCAUUGUACUAUCUUUAGUCCAAUUUGUGGACUCUAUUUUAACUUAAAAAACCUAAUUUUGUAUAUUGUAAAGUUGAGUGGUGACUUGUUGAGUUGUGGAGUAUUGGCUACCUAGAGUCAGUCCUAGAAUGAUACUGAUGAUGCCCAAGAAAAUAGGAAAAUCCACAUAGGACAAAGUGUUAGAUCAUCCAAGCCACUCUGGAAGUCAAAAGCACCCGGUCAAACACGGGUUGACCCUAAAGGCCCAACUGCAAUGAAGAAUCUAAAUCCUAGACUGAUAAUACUCCUUAAUUGCUCGAAGAUGAGCAAUUCAAAAGAACCUAGUUUGGGUAUAAGCUGGGCAUCGAAGUUAUCCUUUGGGCCAAGAUAGAGAUAAUCUUCACAAAGCAUGGUUUAAACAAAAGGUCUCAAAGAACUUAUUCAUUAGGCCCUCCUCUAGAGGAAAUUCCCAUAGGAUAAGCCCUCGACAUGAGGCAAUCCGUAUAAUCUAGGAAACAGAAAAAUCCAAGCCUAGUAUGGAGAAACAUAGGAUAGACUUUCCACAUUCUCUUGGUGCCACGUGCCCUAAUCUCCACAAAUCUGGGACAUGAUAUUCCUUGUUCAUCUAAUAAUCCUAACCCAAAUUACUCAUGGAGUUGCGAAACUAGGAGGAAUCAACUAAUCCUUUGUAGUAUGGGUGUGGUCGACCACUUCUCAUCUUGAUCCUAACCCAAAAAGACCUUGAGGGGUGAACCAAAGAUAUGAUAUUCUACACUACUCUUUCAAGCUUAUAACCUAUUUCUAAAAUUCUUUGCUAACUUAAGCAUUAGAGUGGCAUCUUCCCAGUCGAGCCCCAAGGCAGUUAGUCUUUUCUUGGUGUGUAAGGAAUUUCAAGCUUGGGUUAGUUCAGUAUGUGGUUUGAAUCUUAUGGGAAGUCUUACAAAUUCAAUUGGUGACCAAUUUCAACAUCAUUAUUUGGCAUUGUCUGUGGGAACAAAGGUUUUCCCUUGACACAAUGAGAUGACAGACCACCUGAUUGAUCACCCCAUUAUCAAUGAUUAUCCGAUCCAUAAACUCAAAAUAAAGAAAGGUAACCAAAUGAUCAUCCUAUAGCUAUGGACCCCUUGGUUUUUGUUAUACAGCUAGACAAGUUGAGCAGGCAAGUCCAAAUCCUUGUUAAUAAUCAAGGAGAAGGAAGCAAUACCAGGAACAAUAAUCAAUCUCGAACUAAUCAAGGCAUCGGGAGGGAUGGUAGCCUUUGGAAUUAUAUCAGUGGAGACCAAGAGAAUAUCAUAGAAGAAAGAAGAAUCAUUCAUGACAACACGCACCUCAGGAAAUCCCACCACAUGACCAAGAAGAUUAGUGAUGGAACAACUGAGAUUGUAGAAGCCAAAGACGUCGUUCUUAGACCAAGAGGGACAAAUCCAAAAGAGAUCGAAAUCGCUGCAGCCACCAAAAUCAAUCAUUAUCUCAAAGUUGAAGCCUAAAUGAGCGGGAAGUUUGCGAUGUUAUUUGCAACCUUAAACGAAGUCUAUAGGGAAGCAAGGAUGUAGAGUUGUCUUGUUAGCCAUGAUUCCCUUGUCUCGCCAGGUACUUAAAAGUAUCCACCUCCUAAUUUGCUUUAACGAAGCCGAAUCAUCCCCAAGAAGGUUUCUUUGAGAUUGUUGCAGGAUCUCAACUCUUGUCUCAAGUGUAGAUAUUUUAUUUUUCUUUUUUUAUUGAGUUAAGUAGCAAAUAUUCUUUUUUUUUUUGGCUAAAGAUACUCAUAAGCCACAAAUAUUCAUGGGAGCUGUUUUGUAGGUUCUCCUUUGUGAAUGAAAAUCGUUUGCUGAACAAUAAAAUAAAGAGUACACCUAAUUCAUUAUGCUUCCAAGGUGUAGGAGUUUUGAUUUUAUUUUUUCUUUUAUUUUUUUGUUGAGUAAGUUUCUUUUGUUUUGUUAGCAUAUUGAGUUGUCUUGUUAGCUUCUCGUAUUCAAAGUACUUCAGCAUUGUUACUACUGGUUGACUCUUUUUGCAAACGCUAAAAAAUUAGUUUCAAAGUGUGAUAGCUAUCAGAGACAUUCAAAGAAUCAAAUUGGAUCCAUCGACCAUCGCAGUCAAUGAAGCACUUACUAUUGCCAUCUCUAUUCUAUCAAUGGGGCAUUGAUCUCGUGGGGGCUCCCCCUUGCCAACAGGUUAGAGGUGAUAUUUGAUAGUGACAGUUGACUAUUUCACUAAGUGGAUAGAGGUAGAGCCAUUUGCAAAAAUCAUCACGUGGAAGGCCAAAGACUUUCUAAAUCAGUUGAUCCUUUGCCAAUUCAAGGUCCCAAGAAUCAUAGUUGCAAACAAUGAUGCACAGUUUAAUUGUAGACCUUUCUAGGACAUUUGUGAGGUGUAUAACACUAAGCUGUGAUUUUCAACAGUAGGCUAGCCUCAAGCUAAUGUUUAGGUUAAAGUCACUAAUAGAACCAUCCUGCAAGAUCUCAAAACUUGGUUCUCUGCAGCAAAAUCCCUUUGGGUGGAAGAACUCCCAUGUGUUAUGGGCCUACCACACUUUGACACGAACAACAAAGCAACAAAGUAAAUGACGAUAAACCCCACUAGGUACCUCCAUUUGAAGGGAGACAAUUGGCGGUGUCAAGGUGUCGGAGUAGGUCCAUCACUCUUCUUCUUAGCAGAUGGCGAAAACCCCACUUGAAGGUUGCCUCGUGGAAGUAGAUUCGAGAGAUGGGAUGAUAGGCUUUGAGGUGGGUGUUGACCCUCCACCAUCGAGUCCUUUGGGAUGUUGUAUGUUUAUUAAAUGGAGGCCUUUCUCUCAAUCUACGAAAGAUGAACUGAAGACGAGAGAGAAGCAAGGUGAAUCUCGUACUUCACUAGUUCAACCUCAAUGGCAUUAAACUAACUAAAUUCGAGAGCCAUCUCUCUAGCAAAGGAAGCAAGAAAUGAAUGAAAGAGGGAAAAUUUGCAAGGAGUAGAAGGUUGCAGAAAAGGGAAGAACACGAAAAGCACAGGUAGGAGGAAAGGUAGAAAAAUCCUAAAUGCAAUAGAGAAAAAGGUAUAUAUAGGUACAAGGAGAAGGAGACAGUUUAAUUGCUAAGGAGAAAUCACUGCCAAAAAAGGUGGAAAGCCCCAAAGGUGGCAAUGAUGACAGGAGAUCUCCUAGUCGCACACCAUCCACAUAGGAAAUCAAAAAAACCAUCGCAUGCACCAACAAUGGAGGACAUGUCCUAAAUGCACCUAUGAAAUUAAUGGCCACGAUUGACAUAGCAUUAGCUUCUUAAGUCCAAAAGUGUUAACAUCUAAACUAAGGAAGUGGGAGAGUCCUAAUGAUGUCCAGGAAAAUAGAUAAAUCCACAUAAGACAAAGUGUCAAGUCAUCCAAGCCACGCUAGAAGUCAAAAAUACCUAGUUAACACAUGGGUUGACCGUGAAGGCCUAGCCACAAUGAGGUUUCCAGAAUCCGGACUGAUAAUGCUCCCUAAUUGCUCGGAGAUAAGCAAUCUGAAAGAACUUAAUCUGGGUAGAAAAUGGGCACUGAAGUAUUCUCUAGGCUAAGAUAGAGAAACUUCACAAAGCAUGGUUCAAACAAAAGAAGGCUUGAAUAUCCGUUAAGCCCUCCUCUAGAGGCAAUUCCCAUAGGAUAACCCCUCAACAGGAGGCAAUCCCUAUAAUCUAGGGAAUAGACAAAUCCAAGCCUAGAAUGGAAAAAAUACAAGAUAGACAUUUCAAGUCCUCUUGGUGCCAUGUGUCCUAAUCUCCACAAACUUGGGAUGAGAUAUUCCAUUCUCAUCUAAUAAUCCUAACCCAAAUCACUCAUGGACUCAUGAAACUAGGAGGAAUCACCUAAUCCUCCAUGACAUGAGCAGGGCUAACUAAUUCUCAUCAUGAUCCUUAUCAUGAAGCUCAACCCAAAAGGUAUAAAAAGACCUCAAGAGGUGAGCAAAAGGUAUGACAUUCUACACUACUCUUUCAAGCUUACAAGCUAUCUCCAGAAUUCUUUGCUGACUUAAGCAUUAGAGUGGUAUCUUCCCAGUUGAGCCUUGGGGCAGUUACUCUUAUCUUGCGCGUGCAGGAAUCUCAAGGCCAGGUUAGUUAGGGACGAGGUUCAGAUCUCGGGGGAAGUCUUACAAAUUCAAUUGGUGACCAAUUUUGACAUCAUCAGAUACUUAAAAACAGACAUUAUGAAUUAUAUUAACAUCUUAAUCUAUGGAUGAUAGAAUAAUCAUUGUCUAACUGGUGACUGACAUGCUGAGUUUUAUGCUAUGAAAGAUGUUUUUUUCUUGGUAUGUUGCCGUUGUGACUGUUCUAUAAAGAAUAUAUGGAACUACUUAUUUUCUAUAUGUUCCCACCAUGCCAUCUCUUCAUCUUUUGAGAAUCAUAGUUUUAACAUCUCCAUGCUGUGUCCCACAUGUCCGUGCAUGUGCUUUUAAGUUCCUUCUGUAAUUUAUAUUCGAGGAACCUUUAUCUACAGAUGUAUCUUAUUCUUCUUCUCUUUUAAUAUCUUUUCAGUUCAUUUUCUUGCAUUGUGAAAAUUCAUUUCGUGUUUACUGCUUGAUAUGAAAGUCCUAGUCAGUCUGGUUCUAUUUGCCAGAAAAAUUUUGAAGGGAAAGGGAAAGGUGUUGGAUGCCUUGGCCACAGAUUUCUCUGGAUUUACAGAAAACUAGGGUGAGAAGUCAAGAAAGUGUCACUUCAUUGAUGUUUAAGUUUUGAAAUGACUAUUUAUUUAUUGAACUGAGAAUUCCUUGUCCUAAAUUGUAGUGAAUAUUUUUGUAGUGCUCACUGUCGUCAUUUUUCUUUACCUUUUUUGGUUGGGCUUGUAGCACUUUCAAGAUGGAUGAAUUUUUUCCUUGUGCAGUUAAUUAUUGUAUGGAAAUAUAAAGCAGUUCUUUAUGGUUUUAAUGAUGUCCUGACACUUCCAUAGAUAAAAAUUAAUGUUUGGAACCUCGUAGAGUUUAAAGAUGUGGGCAGACUUGGACAUUGGCUGGAUUAAAGAUCAACAAAAGUUCUGAUAUAGAUUUGGCGAUAGACUACACAUCCAAUUUAGCGAAGGACAGAAAGGGUUGGGAUUGUGUUUGAACUCAAUGCCACUAGCAUCACUAUUGGGAAGGACAACCACCCAACUGGAUGGUGAUGGGCAACCAUCCAAAUUGGCAAAGAGUGAACGAUCUGUGCUUUAGCUUUGUCAUUUUGCUUUUUACUUAUGAGCUGCAAUUAUUCAUUCCUAUUGGAUAUCCACUUUGUUCAGGAUCUCUGAGAUUUGCCUUCUCUCAAUGGACACAACAUGGCAUAUGGCUAAAGAAGGUAAAAUUAUGCUACAUUUUUUGCUCCACAUAUUUCCAUCGCUUGCAGCUAUAUGAAUUUCAAAAGUAAUGCUUAUAUAGGAUGCCUGCCGAGGGCCUGUAUAAAUGUUCCUUGAUGUAAUGGGGCCAUUUGUUUUUAGUUUUGCUCCAGGUCAAUACUAUCACUAAGAUAAACCUUGGAGAACUGGGGUCAGGCGCGGAUGUAUGCAUGAGCUGCCCUGGGCAGCUCACAAUUAAAAAUAAAUUUUUAAUAUAAAAAAUAAUAAAUUUUAUUAAUAAUCCAGUCAAAAAAAAUUCCAGCCCACCCCAAAAUUUGUGAUGUGUAAUUUUAUACCUUAAAAAAAAAUAUUAGCCUCCCACUACAUAGAUUUCUGGAUCCGUCCCUGUGGGGUUUGAUCACGAAAUGUUUAAAGGUGGAUCUCAAUUUAGGGCAUUUUGAUUAAGGCUGUGCUUGGGGGUGAUUUGGUAAUGGAAUGGAAUAGAAUGAAUUAUAAAUGAGUGGAAAGGAAAUGAAACAAAUGGAAUGAAAGGUUAUUUCUCCUUGUUUGGGAGAGGUUAGGAUCAAAAGUAAUGGAAUUAGAUAGAAGUAAUGGAUAGAAUGAGUACUUUUAGUCUCCUUUCCACCCAACCUCCUCCAAUUUGGAGACUGAAAGUGCUCAUUUUAAGAAGAUUAGAUGGAACCAAUCCCUUUCCAUUCCAUUACUUAAAAGCCUCUCAAACAAAGAGAAUAUAUUUCCUUCACCAUUCCAUCUAAUUCCAUUACUUCACACUCUCCCAAACGCACCCUAAGCUAUCAGAUUUCAUAGGCAACCUAAUUCAAGGUGAUGCAUUGAAUCAAUCCACUACCGGAAAAAUGUGUUCCAGUGCAUUUUCUUGCAAAGCAUACUUUGUUUAGGGUCAUUUUCCUCCUACGCAUAGAAAGGUGUCGUGCUGGGGGGUUUGUGAAGAAAAACUAAACUUUUUUGCUUGAAAGUUUUGAGGGGAAUUUGCAGAAAUAUGUAUAGCACAACAGUGGCUGCUGGAUGAAAUGCUAAAAUAGCUUCGAAAUUUGUGGAAGCUGUCCCUAUCAUCCCCUGCAUUGGUGCUCACUAUGAGGUCCAUCUUUUGCCACAUUAUCAUUGAGGCAACCCUGUAGAAAGUUGCCACCUAUUAUUAAAAGACUACAGUUGCUUCCCCUAGGAAGGCUUAGGGGCUGUUUGGUUGUGGAAGACUGCCCUAGUUUUCCAGAAAAUUACUCCACAGAAAACAAAAAAUUGGAAAACUUGUUCAAGUACAAAAAGUAUUUCCCAAAUAGAAAUGGAGAUUUGGAAAACUCAGAAAAUGAGUUUUCCUUAUUAAUUGGGAGAUUCGGAAGAUAUGGUUUUCUAAAAUUUUCCACAAACAUCUCUCAUUUUUUGGAGUAUUUCUAACAUUUAAUCAUGUUUUCAAAUUUUCUAUGGAAAAUGAAAUCUGGAGAUUUUAUAGAAAAUUGGAGAUAAAAAACUGGAAAUCAUUUUCCACAACUAACCUUAGUAGCUUACUGUCGCUAUUGACAGUUAAAACUGCUGCUUCUGACCAUUUCUUUCAACAAAAUGACAAGACUAGGAAAAUUUUUUGUUUUUAACUUUUUCUUCUUAGAGAAAAUCGAUCCUCUAAUCAGACCUCUCUUCACGUGCUUCUGAGAUCAAUUGACAUACUUAUUUAGAGGUAAACCUAAACAAAUUUGUGUUUCUUUCGUAUUUUUACUGCAUUCUAAUUGAAUGCAUAUAUAUGGACAUGUUUGGCGAUAAUGUGUAUUCUUACUAUCAAUUAGCGUACCUAAAGAGAGAGUUUCAUAGACAUUUAAACACCUCAAUUGUGUUUUUUUACACAAAACCAAUGGUUUGCUUGCUGGAUAGCGUGUACAAGGAAGCAAUUAUAUAUUGCUGGACCAAAACGAAUGUUCUGGAUAGAAUUUUUGGUGCCAGCUUUUGGAGAACCUGGAAAGUUAAUAUGGUUAGGACCAUCUGACCAGGUUUCCCUUUUUGGUGCAGAAGACCGAGAUAUAUAUUCCCCUUUACAGGAUCAUCUGAUCAGGGUCCCUUAUGGUUUGCGUGGUCAGUUUGAAAAUUGGAAGAAAAAACAUUCAGCUGCAACAAAGUUUGUUAUUUACUGUGAAAACUGUGUUUUUAAGUAUAACGAGCAUUAACUUCUCAAUGACUAUAGAGGCAAUGAGUUUCAAUUAUCAUUGUUAAAAUUUGAUCCAUAUAGUGAUCAGUGUUGUAGGAUGUUCUUGUGAUGCAUAACUUGGUCUCAAGUAUAAUGAGUCUCAACUCCUCGAUGACUGUUCAGGGAGUGAGUUUUGAGUUAUAGUUGUUAAAGUUUGGUUCAUAUAAUAAUUGACAUUGUAGGAUGUUCUUAGAAAUGAAUAAAAUGUUCAUUGUUGUUAUGCGUUCCUCAUUGCUAAUGAGUUUUUUAGUUCAUACUUCUUGUUGGUGAAGGGGGGGUGACUUCUACAUAAUUUGGUAUUUUCCUAGAACAUCCACCAAGCACCAACCACGAAAAAAGAAGAAGAAACGAGUACUAGAAAUUGUUUGCUAAGAGAAUGCAAAACAGUAAAGUUGAAUGGCAGACUGAUCCUCUUCAGGUAACUUUGCUUCCUUUCAAUAUUUUUUUAUCUAUUUUUAUUUAUUCUUUGUGGAUGCUGGCAUUUACUAUACUGUAGCACACAGAAAGCUUAAACAUUAGUAGAAAGCACGACUCAAAAAAGAAAAAAUAGUGAAGGAAAGGACAGGAGCUGAGUUAUCUCUUGUAAUCUCGAGCUUUUAAGAGCAAGGCUCUAAAUUACAGGAAAAGUUCAUGACGGUAUGAUGGCUUACUGUCUAUAUCUGAAUUGUAUCCAACUGGGGAGAGAGAGAGAGUGCAAUCGCUUUCAUGCAUGCAGAACUAUUCAAGUGCGGAUGACAUCAAUUUGGUAGGUGAACAGUGAGUUCCUAUAAUUGCAUGCUCAAUUUUCUUUUUUCUUAUUUUGUAGACCUUGCAUUUUGCAAAUAGCAUUGAUCUCCACAUCCAUCCCCCCAUCCCCCCAAAAAACAAAGCACUUUUCUACUCUCUGCAGGAUAAGCGAACGAAUUAAGAAAGAAAUUGGUCCCAUUCCUUUGCACCUCAGUCAACACUAUUUUAGCUACCUGAAUCUUUGUAAAACUUUUCGUGUUUCUACAGAUUGUUGAAGCAAGUUAUAGGAUUUGGUAUCAUAUGAGGUGACUAUCUAUAGUAGCUUAUUCAAAUAAGUGUAAUUAAUAACAUCACUUUGAGAUAUUGUAAGUUUGGCUUACUUGUAGUAAUAAUUUUUUUUUGUCCGCACCAUAUAAGAGGUUUUCAUUAUCUCUUGUGUUUAAUUAGUGAAGAUACAAAUCACUCAAGUA